rnacentral:rRNA from 1 species
UCCCUACGGGGGGCUGCAGUGAGGAAUUUUGCGCAAUGGGGGAAACCCUGACGCAGCGACGCCGCGUGGAGGAAGACGGCCUUCGGGUUGUAAACUCCUGUCAGAGGUGAAGAAUGCCCGCAAGGGCUUGACGGUAACCUCAGAGGAAGCCCCGGCUAACUACGUGCCAGCAGCCGCGGUAAUACGUAGGGGGCAAGCGUUGCUCGGAAUUACUGGGCGUAAAGGGAGUGCAGGCGGCCGGUUAAGUCGAAGAUGAAAUCCCGAGGCUUAACUUCGGAAUGGUCUUCGAUACUGAUCGGCUUGAGGCUGGUUGAGGAGAGCGGAAUUCCCGGUGGAGCGGUGAAAUGCGUAGAUAUCGGGAGGAACACCAGAGGCGAAGGCGGCUCUCUAAACUAGUCCUGACGCUGAGACUCGAAAGCUAGGGGAGCAAACGGGAUUAGAUACCCCAGUAGUC